UCCUAGGUGGCAGAGUGGUAAAGCAUCUGCCUACAAUGCAGGAGACCUGGGUUCGAUCCGUGGGUUGGGAA
rnacentral:tRNA from 1 species